rnacentral:rRNA from 1 species
GAUGAACGCUGGCGGCGUGCCUAAUACAUGCAAGUCGAGCGAACAGACGAGGAGCUUGCUCCUCUGACGUUAGCGGCGGACGGGUGAGUAACACGUGGAUAACCUACCUAUAAGACUGGGAUAACUUCGGGAAACCGGAGCUAAUACCGGAUAAUAUAUUGAACCGCAUGGUUCAAUAGUGAAAGACGGUUUUGCUGUCACUUAUAGAUGGAUCCGCGCCGCAUUAGCUAGUUGGUAAGGUAACGGCUUACCAAGGCAACGAUGCGUGGCCGACCUGAGAGGGUGAUCGGCCACACUGGAACGGAGACACGGUCCAGACUCCUACGGGAGGCAGCAGUAGGGAAUCUUCCGCAAUGGGCGAAAGCCUGACGGAGCAACGCCGCGUGAGUGAUGAAGGUCUUCGGAUCGUAAAACUCUGUUAUUAGGGAAGAACAAAUGUGUAAGUAACUAUGCACGUCUUGACGGUACCUAAUCAGAAAGCCACGGCUAACUACGUG